AAAAAAACAAACCCUGGGUUUCCGUGUCCAACUUUGACUGUCCGUCUUAUAUGAAAUUUUUUUAUAAUUCGUAUUUUCAUUGUUGUUAGAUGAUAAAACAUGAUUAAUAUUUUAUGCGUGACUUGUCUUUUUAUUUUUUUUCAUAAUUUUUUCAAAUAAGACGGACGGUCAAACGUUGGACACGGAAACCAGGGUUUGUCUUUUU
rnacentral:pre_miRNA from 1 species